UACAGAGGGUGCGAGCGUUAAUCGGAAUUACUGGGCGUAAAGGGCGCGUAGGCGGUCUAUCAAGUGAGAUGUGAAAUCCCCGGGCUUAACCUGGGAACUGCAUCUUAAACUGAUAGGCUGGAGUAUUGUAGAGGACAGUGGAAUUUCCGGUGUAGCGGUGAAAUGCGUAGAGAUCGGAAGGAACAUCAGUGGCGAAGGCGACUGUCUGGACAAAUACUGACGCUGAGGCGCGAAAGCGUGGGGAGCAAACAGG
rnacentral:rRNA from 1 species